GAAAGGCGGAAACCAUCUCAACUCCAGAGACGUUCCCGGCGUCGCCCGACGGCCAGAGGUCUCGCUCCGGUCCGCCGGCCUGAGGUCUCGCCGCGGUCCUCUCCUCCCCAGCAUCUUGUUACCAAACUGACGUCGUGUUGUCCGUAAUCUUCUCCAGUUCGUGGCGCUGCUCAGCGGACACGGACCUCCUCCCACCAAAGCCUUCUCUUUUCCUCCUCAUCUUCCCCGCCAUCUGUUGGUGCUGCGCUGGCAUGGCUUGCAGAUCCAUCUCGAUUUGGAUUUGUUUCUUCUCCUGUUAGUUGUGCCGUUGGUGGAGGCUUUUUGAGUCCAUCAAAUUUGAUCUGGUGAGAAAAUUGUCUGAAUUUGUAAUUUAGGGUUUGUUUGGCACAGCUCAACUCUAGGUUUUUCAGUUCCAUUUCAAAAAUCUAUAGUGAUCAUGGAGCUGAAGCUGAUAGUGUUUGCCUAACAGGGUGGCUCUACAUCCAGAAAUAAGAGGUUUUUUUGGAAUUGUCAAUUGUACCCUUGAGGUGUUGCAUGUACACUGUUUUUAACAUGUACAUAUUUGUGAUU